CUCAAUCCGACGAUCAGAGCUUCGUAUUCCGCUCCAUUGUUCAAAGGGAUCGAAACCAGAUCUUCGAUUGGGCCACCCCUUUCCUCAACGAGAUCAUCGCGAGUGUCCAAUCCAUCAACUGGACAGAGGUUAGAUUGGUCACUUCUUUGCAAGGCUAUGUUGUAGCAGUGUCUGGCUAGGACUUGGUUUCCCUUGACUUCUCCGACCCCCUGGUUGGUAGAAAAUUUCAAUUUCAAAUGAUAGGUUGACACCACGGCCCG
rnacentral:lncRNA from 1 species